UGCUAAGACUGGAUAGGAAGAAAUAAGGCAUCUUAUUUCUUUUAAAAGACCUAGUAAUAGGUAUACUUUAGGAGGGGCUUGCGCCAUAUUAGUUAGUUGGUAGGGUAAUGGCCUACCAAGACGAUGAUGUGUAGCUGGACUGAGAGGUUGAACAGCCACAUUGGGACUGAGACACGGCCCAAACUCCUACGGGAGGCAGCAGUAAGGAAUUUUCGGCAAUGGAGGAAACUCUGACCGAGCAACGCCGCGUGAACGACGAAGUACUUUGGUAUGUAAAGUUCUUUUAUCAAGGAAGAAAAGCAAGUGGCGAACCAUUUGUUUGCCGGUACUUGAUGAAUAAGCCCCGGCUAAUUAUGUGCCAGCAGCCGCGGUAAGACAUAAGGGGCAAGUGUUAUCCGGAAUUAUUGGGCGUAAAGGGUGCGUAGGCGGUCUAGUAAGUCAGUGGUGUAAUGGCAACGCUCAACGUUGUCCGGCUAUUGAAACUGCUAAACUUGAGUUAGAUAGAGGCGAGUGGAAUUCCAUGUGUAGCGGUAAAAUGCGUAAAUAUAUGGAGGAACACCAGAGGCGUAGGCGGCUCGCUGGGUCUUAACUGACGCUGAGGCACGAAAGCGUGGGGAGCAAACAGGAUUAGAUACCCUGGUAGUCCACGCCGUAAACGAUGAGUACUAAGUGUCGGGUUAAACCGGUACUGAAGUUAACACAUUAAGUACUCCGCCUGAGUAGUACGUACGCAAGUAUGAAACUUAAAGGAAUUGACGGGACUCCGCACAAGCGGUGGAUCAUGUUGUUUAAUUCGAAGAUACCCGAAAAACCUUACCAGGUCUUGACAUGUUUUUGCGAAACGGUAGUAAUAUCGUAGAGGUUAUCAGAAACACAGGUGGUGCAUGGUUGUCGUCAGCUCGUGUCGUGAGAUGUUAGGUUAAGUCCUAAAACGAGCGAAACCCUUAUCGUUAGUUGCCAGCACGUUAUGGUGGGGACUUUAACGAGACUGCCAGUGAUAAACUGGAGGAAGGUGAGGAUCACGUCAAAUCAACCUGCCCCUUAUGACCUGGGCUACAAACGUGAUACAAUGGCUGUUACAAAGGGUAGCUGAAACGUAAUUCUUGGCCAAUCCCCAAAAACAGUCUCAGUCCGGAUUGAAGUCUGCAACUCG
rnacentral:rRNA from 1 species